AGCAGCCGCGGUAAUUCCAGCUCCAAUAGCGUAUAUUAAAGUUGUUGCAGUUAAAAAGCUCGUAGUUGAAUUUCGGGGUCAGUAGAUUGGUCGUGCCACUGGUAUGCACUGGUCUUACUGAUUCCUCCUUCCUGAUGAACCGUAAUGCCAUUAAUUUGGUGUUGCGGGGAAACUGGACUGUUACUUUGAAAAAAUUGAGUGUUUAAAGCAGGCUCGCGCUUGAAUACAUUAGCAUGGAAUAAUGAAAUAGGACGUUUGAUUCUAUUUUGUUGGUUUCUAGGAUCGACGUAAUGAUUAAUAGGGAUAGUUGGGGGCAUUAGUAUUCAAUUGUCAGAGGUGAAAUUCUUGGAUUUAUUGAAGACUAACUACUGCGAAAGCAUUUGCCAAGGAUGUUUUCAUUAAUCAAGAACGAAAGUUAGGGAUCGAAGACGAUCAGAUACCGUCGUAGUCUUAACCAUAAACUAUGCCGACUAGGGAUCGGAUGAUGUUAAUUUUUAUGUACUCAUUCGGUCG
rnacentral:rRNA from 1 species